UUGAGGCACUCUUUUCGCUGUCUCUCAUCUCCCUCUUUCUUCGCCCCUGCUCGCUUUCACUCCUCCUCGUAUCGCUACGUCAUCUAAUGUGGGUGGGAGAGGUCGGUAAUUGUUAACAGGCAGGUGUAUAUAUACCUGUUGUCCUCAUCCGGUAGCGAGAGACUGAAGUUAGCUGCUAACGUGUUGGAGGCAGCAGUGUUCCGGGAUGUGUUGGUAGCGCAAGGGGUUGCAUAGUGAUUGCCAACGGCACUACUGUUUGUGUGUGUGCGCUUCCGAAACGCGUAUGGAAUGUCUGGACUGACGAGCACAGAGGAGCAUUUGUGACGGGUGAAUGCGUGAAGCGUCGGAACACUGUCUACUCACCCAAUCGCUAUUGCAGAAAGGUAUGUUAUGGUUCUGAUUAUAAGGUAUUGGGCAAAAAGUAAAGCGAUCAUUUGAUUAAUGGGUCUGGUGUCAGCGAGUGUGUCUUAGUAGCUAUAUGUAUACUGACUAUGAAUUUUAGGCGUAUAGAGCACUUAAUUAGAACUCUUGUUUCUUUUUCUUUGUUAAAGAGUCUUCAGCCAAUCCGAUUGUCUGCUGCUGUUCUUUUGAGUGUGUUUGAAUGAAUGGGCAGGUGCUGCUUUUUAGACACUUAUUUGUUUUGUUUGUUUCUUUUUUUUACUAGCCGGUGUGCUACAAUAUCUGUGUGUAGUGAACUGACAGUGGCCACCGGCUAGCGGUUUAUACAUUUAUUUUCGUUGUUUGUUUGUCUUCACCCAUUACAUUAGCCUCGUGUGGGUUGGGCCCACUGGAUAGACUUUCCAACGGGCUCCUGCCUGGUUUCCUUAGCGUGUUUCACUCAUUUAGCACGACGUGUGCAGUGUACUGCUGUGAAGUGUGUAUUCUUAGAAAUAGCUCAAAGAGCCUGGUUGUCAUUGUUGUGCAGUGUUUGUAGUGUUUGUUCUACUCUAAAGUGGUGUGCCCUAGCUCACGUGUGGUACGGAAACUUAGGACUGAGUAACUUGUACUUCGGUGGCCCCCCCUUAUGGCUUAGUGUUAUGUCAAGUGAUGAAUUUGUGUGUUAUUUAUUGAAAUCCAAAAGCGACUCAAUGUUUUUACUGUUACAAAAAUAAAGAUUGUACUUUUCUACUUUGUUGA